GCUCGCUCCUGUAAACAUAUACUAAAAUUGGAAUGAUACAUAAAAGAUUUUCAUGGCCCCUGUGAUGACAUGCAAACUCAUAACAUGUUCCAUAUUUUU
rnacentral:snRNA from 1 species